rnacentral:rRNA from 1 species
UACGGAGGGUGCGAGCGUUGUCCGGAAUCAUUGGGCGUAAAGGGCGCGUAGGUGGCCCGGUCAGUUCGUGGUGAAAGCGCGGGGCUCAACCCUGCGUCGGCCAUGAAUACUGCCGCGGCUGGAGCACUGUAGAGGCAGGCGGAAUUCCGGGUGUAGCGGUGGAAUGCGUAGAGAUCCGGAAGAACACCGGUGGCGAAAGCGCUCUGCUGGACCUUAACUGACACUGAGGGACGAAAGCUAGGGGAGCGAAUGGG